CUUUGUCAUCACCGCCCGUUAGUGACCAGCUGGACCACGCCGUCUUCCCAUUUCGUCUCUAACAUGUGCUAUGACCAGUGGCGGAAAUCGCAAAGUGACGCUGACCAAAUGGACUUCUAUGACAAAUCAAGUCAUCAACAUUCAUGUUCACGAAAAUAUUCACCAUGCAGAGUGUGAACAUGGUGAUCUCCCAUGACAACUGUAGUUUGACAAAGGGGCCGAGGCACACCUAAAGUUCAAGAACAUAGUCUGUGCUAAGAUGCUUUUGAACAAUAUUGGACAGCUGUCAUCUAUUGGGCAGACGUACAGCGCAGAAGUGUACCCCCCACCAGCCUUCUGCUUCAAUUCCUUCCCAAUGAUGCAUGCGUAGACCAUGAAAGGAAUGAAGCUAGGUCACUCCUGGCUGCCACGGACUUCAAUGAAAAUGGAUGCUGGGCACAGGCAAUGUCAAGCAGUGCUGAACUCCGGUACAAAGUCAGUCACCCAAAAGAUCAGGACGGCAAAGCAGUGCUAAAGACUC